UAGCCAAGGAUGACUUGCCCG
rnacentral:miRNA from 3 species